UACAGAGGUGGCAAGCGUUGUUCGGAAUUAUUGGGCGUAAAGGGCGCGUAGGCGGCCUGGCAAGUGGAUGGUGAAAUCCCUCGGCUUAACCGAGGAACUGCCAUCCAGACUGCUUGGCUUGAGACCGGGAGAGGUGAGUGGAAUUCCCAGUGUAGCGGUGAAAUGCGUAGAUAUUGGGAGGAACACCAGUGGCGAAGGCGGCUCACUGGACCGGUACUGACGCUGAGGCGCGAAAGCGUGGGGAGCAAACGGG
rnacentral:rRNA from 1 species